GUGAAUAACAGAGCUCCACAGCAAUAAUACUCCCAGUAAUGUGUCUGAGUGUAUAACAGAGCUCCACAGCAAUAAUACUCCCAGUAAUGUGUCUGAGUGUAUAACAGAACUCCCCAGUAAUAAUACUCCCAGUAAUGUGUGUGAGUGUAUAACAGAGCUCCACAGCAAUAAUACUCCCAGUAAUGUGUCUGAAUGUAUACCAGAGCUCCACAGCAAUAAUACUCCCAGUAAUGUGUGUGAGUGUAUAACAGAGCUCCACAGCAAUAAUACUCC